CCGACUCUUGUGACAUGUUUGAUCCAAUGAACUCGCUCCCCUUUUCCUGGAGCCUCAGCCUCUGGUGAAACUGGACUUUCAAGUCUGUGCAGGUGAAGGUGUGUGAGAGCGCCCGAGAUGGCAGAACAAGAGCUACAGGGUACAAGCCCGAGGGACGAGCUGCGCGGUGAUUGGCUGCGGGGCGGCCUCAGGUGAGCUGCCAUUGGCAGAGGCGCGCUCAGGUAAGGCCCUUCUCCAAGUGCAGGUAACUCACUCCGAAGUUUACCCGAGUGGAGCGGCGGCACGUUCGCGGCGCGGCGGCAGCCCGUGGGAGCCGAGGGGAUUAUGGGUGGAACGGAAGGACUAAGGAGAGCUGAACUCGGGAUCCCCAGCCAACCGGAAUCCGAGGCGCAACCACCGGGCUUUUUCGGGCCCACAAUUGAGAGGACUGUUCGACGGUUUCCGAAGAGUUUGAAGUUUACUUUACUCUGCUCAGAGGAGGGGAAAACACAACGAUUGCCGGGUUUGUUGCGUGAUUUCAUUUGUAACAUACCCACAACCAGCACUUUUCGUGCCCCAAUUUGGUGUAAAAUAUGCCCAGUAGAUUACAGCUUUUCUAAGAGGUGAGCAUCCUUUCGUGAGCUGGGCAGAUGAUCCCGGUGGGGUGAGGAGAUUUGGUUGAACAGGCCAUAAAUUGGCCCCUGGCGCACCUUUUUUCAUCUCACCUCUGCAGCUUGGGAUUCCAGCGCUGCAAACAACCACUGUUCAUAAGCCUGUUGUCUUUUGACGUUUCCAGGCAGACAUCAACAUUGACAUUGUAAUUCAGUAGAAGCUGUGACUACAAAGGUGCUUUAUCCUUCCAGGUUAAUAUGGUUGCUACGGAAACAAUUCAGGAUGAAGCUGACUUUUUUUGUGUGUGUGGUUCUGCUUCACUUGGUUGGAAACAACGCCAACUAGCAAAGGUGCAAUUCAUUUAUAAUCACUGCUCCCAAAGUGUGUUUGUGAAAGUUUUUUAUAGGGGUCUAGCCCAUACUUAUGAAUUGUGGAACUGAAGGGGGAUGUGAAAAGCUUACCAUAUGUUAUUCCAUGUUACAUUGCGAGAGUUCAUACAACUUUUAUUUUCAUCUUUAUGGAUCAGAUGUUUUCUAAAAAUUGCAUUGUGAAACAAUGUUUGGUUGUUCCGUGUUUUCACCUAUGGCAAAUGAAUUUCAAAAGUUUAUGCUUGCUUUUUAAAGACAUUAGAAGUACACACAGUUUUUAAAGGUAAUAUAAUAUGUUAAGGUUAUAUACAUUACCCACUUCUUCUUUACCUUCUUAAUCACCUUCUGAGAGGCAACCACAUUCCACUUGUAUCUGUCUCUUUUGUCAUUUACCUCCAGACUUAUCAAUAAAUGUCAUGGUUAUCUCUUGAUUGAUCUGUUUAGAUGUCCUACGUUGACUACCUGUUGCCUCAGAUAGAGAUGCAGCUUUUUCACACCCACCCAGCUUCCCCUUCUGCCAUUCCUCCCACACAGCCCUUUCACAGUUUAGAGGUAGUAAGUAGUUGGUGACUGUAUAUCAGUCAGCGGAGCCAGCUGGUGAACUAUGGCUGUUUUCCUUCUUAUAAAAUCUUUUACAUAUUUACUUUGUUAUGCACCCACCUGAUAUUUUUUCUACAACAUGUUGAUCAAAUAACUAUCAAUUUUAUUUUCCAAAUGAUCAAACAAUCAAUUUUAUCCCCAGCCCCCACCCCCGCAACAUCCCUCCAAGUCUUCUGUCCUCCUGUCCAAUGGAGAUGAGGUUUCUAAAUUGAAAUUGUUCAUUUAUAAGUUUGUAGAAAUUGCUCUUUUAUCUUCUAGCAUCCAAUGUUGCUGUUGAGAAUUUCAAUGCUACCCUUAUUCCAUUCUUUUGUGACCUGCAGUUUUUCUUUCUGGAAAUUUUUAGAAGAAUUCCUUUAACUCUUAUAUUCUGAAAUUUCAUAAUUAUGUACUGGGUCAAUGGCAAAGAUUUGCCUAAGUUCAAAUCAUGCCUCUACUACAUGACCUUGGGCAAGACACUUAUUCUUGGUAUGCUUCAGUUUCCUAAUUUAUAACAAUAGAGUAUAUAUAUGUAUUUUUACAUAUAUUAUAAUGGAAGUAACAACAGUAAUUUCCUCACUGAUAUACCUCAGCCACUUAGAAUAGUGCCUCAACACAUAGUAAGUUCCUUGAUUAUUGUCCACUCAUUUCUUUUUUUGAAACUCUUAGUUGGAUAUUGAAUCCUCUAGAUUAAUUUUAGAAUUUUUUUUCCUUUCCUUUGGAUAUCUCUUCAUCUUUUGUUCUAUUUGGGGGAAUAGUUCCUUACUUUACUUUCUAUUGAUGAUUUUAUCUCAGCUAUUCUAAGAACUCUUUUCAUGUUUUAUGUUAUUUUUUAAUGUUUUUAUUGAUUUUUAGAGAGAGAGCAGGGGAGAGAAAGAGAGAGAGAAACAAUGUGAGAGAGAAACAUUCAAUCAGCUGCCUCCUGCACAUCCCCCACUGGGGAUGGAGCCUGCAACCGGGGCAUGUGCCCUGACCCAGAAUCGAACCAACAACCUUUUGGUGCACGGAACAAUGCCCAACCAACUGAGCCACACCAGCCGGGGUGUUUUAUGUUAUUUUUAAAAUAGAUUUCUAUGAAUAUGUUAUGGUUGGAAUAAUUUCUUCUCUCUUUUGAGGACAGUUACUAUAGGGUUUUCUGCUUCUUGCCUUCUCUCUGCUUCCUUUUUCCCCAUGUAUUUGUUUUAGUCCCAUCAUGUUAGAGGCUUUCCUCAAAUGCCUGCAAACCUUUGACUAUUCAUACUUAAGAAGAAAGUCAUAAAACCCACCAGAGACUCUAUCUAUAGGGGGUGAGAAGGAGUGUACCUGCAUGUCAGUAGGUUUGACGUAUGGUGAUCAGGUGAAAGCUGGUCCUUCCAUAGGAAGAGCCCCCAAAUGUCAGAAAUGAGAGGUCUGAUCUUUUGGGCUCUUCAAUUUCUCAGAAGAAAUAUCUGUAUCUCUUUC